rnacentral:lncRNA from 1 species
CUGGCCCUGGGAGCUGCCAUUCUACUUUCCAACUCUAUGAAUUUGACUAGUCAAGGCACCACAUGGACAUCCUUCCUGAUUGGAGGAAGACCAUUUUUUAAGACAAAAUAAUAUGAGUUGCUGCUCUCUUCUGCGAGGACCUAUACCAGAGUUAACAUGAAAGCUUCACAUGUGAGAUAAAUGCACUCAAAGACUCCUCACAAGUAGCUCUUUGGAGCUUCAGAUGUGAAAUGGAUCAUUCCUCAAGCUGUAAUAGACCCUUUGGUGAAGCUCUUCAAUCAAACCUGAGAAUUCAAGACGUUUUGUAGCAUCCUAAACAGAAGGAUAUUGAAGGGAGCUGAUUCUGCUUUGAUCCUUGUGCUUGUUGUCAAAGCGCUUGGGAUUGAAGAGACUGUUGGCUACAAUUGACUGUGACAAUUAGGAGAUGAUCAGAGCCCUAGAGUGGAGCACUUAAAGGGAGAAUGGAAAAGGGAAAAUGUGAGUACAGAGAAAGUAGCACUGAUUUCCAUCACAAAAAAGAGAUUCUACAGAGCUCUGGAGGAAAGUCACACCACAGCACAGGCAGAUCCUGGGAAAUGCACUGAAUCUGUGGACUGCCUUGGUACUGUUGUAGGCCAAUGUGUCUUGCACCUCUGUGCUGGAAUUCUGUGGGACUCCUCUCCAAACCAAAGUUCCUCAAAAAAGCCAUGAAAGUUAUGUGAUACAAGAGAAAUGCCAUUGUUCUUAUUGGAUGAUUCCUAUCAGAGCCCAUCAGGAGGUCUAGGCAUUUACAAUGAAGAUCAGUGUAAUUGUACUAUCUUGCUUGGUGGCUAAGUCAUUCAGAAGGGAACAAACUGUGAAAACUGAGCCUGCUAUUUUUUUUGUUUCUAUGUUAGUUGAGUAAGGAUGCUGACCUACUGAUCGGAUCUCCAGCCCAGGACUAUGGUUUUCCAAUAGUUAGAGGUCAUUGAUCCUGAAGGAAAAUUUUUUGCCUAAGAAUUGGAGCUGCCUGAUCUCUACAUAUUGCAAAUGGUCUGACCUUUUCAUUCAAUAGUCACUAGGCAUGGACAGCCUGGUUCUGAGUGUGCAAAGCUGUGGCUUCCCCUCCUAUAGACGCCUUCUGAACAGCAAAUCUGACUUCCUCCUCAGACCAAGGCAUCCUGAAAACAUCCAAGCAGAGGAAGCAUUUUUUCACCAUGACAUGGGAAAGGGCCACAGAGAUCCAAAUGGAAACGGACAUUUCAUGUGAGUGACUGUUUCUAUUCCCGCUUGGCUUCUGGCCUAAUUCAACAGACACUUAGGUGGCUGAAGAGGGAAAUUUUUGUUAAAGUGAAUCCAGCUCUGAGUUGGACACAGAGCCGUUUGACUGGCGGCCGAGUUCCUUGUGCUAGCUGGCAAAAUGAGCAAAUUUUUCUUUUAGUUGUUGUUGUUGGGUUUUGAAAAUACUUCAUUUCCUGGCAACGGUUUUCUUUCUCUGAUAGAUAAAGGGAAAGAUCUCUUCCAUUACACUUCUAUCAUCUUAAAAACUAUAUUCUUAAGCAGGCAGGAUCCCCUGAAGAUUUGCUCUCCUUCUCCAUGGCCUUUUGACAGCUGGCUCAUAACCAAGUGGUCUCAGAGAAGUCCUCCCUUCCCUGAUUGUGGAUGUCAGUGGGAGUCUGUUUGCUGUCAUCAGAAGGUUCAUUUUACCAUGGUGGCCGUGUGUGUGUGUGUGUGUGUGUGUGUUUGUGUGCAUCUAAAAGGUGGGCACAGUGCCUAGAUUUAAGCUUUUAAGAAUAUUCAAAGACUAUGGUUAAGAAAAUUAGAGAUUGAGGUGGCCCUCCUUCCCCUUUGCUCUCUAGGAAGCCACACAAAAACUCGUGUUAUGAGACCCCAUCCUAUGGAUGUAACACACACAACUGUGUUAAUCAAAAAUAGACAAUCUUCUACGUCCACGGUAGAGUGAAUUGACACAGUCAUCCUGUAUGGCACUGUAGCACAAAUCAAAAGCUUUAAAAAUUGCACCUCUAGGAGUUCCCAUUGUGGUUCAGUGGGUUAGGAACAUGACAUAGUGUCCACGAGGAUGAGGGUUUGGUCCUUGGCUUCAAUUACUAGGUUAGGGAUCCAGCGUCACAGCAAGCUGCAGUGUAGGUCACAGAUGCAGCUCAGAUCCAGUGUUUCUGUGGCUGUGGUAUGGGCCAGCAGCUGCAGCUCUGAUUCAACCCCUAGCCCAGAA